GGGAAUGGGCGGGUAGUCAGUCAGUCAGGUAAAAAGCGAGCCUGAGCCCAGAGGGCAGCGCAAGAGUACAGAACUCAAAAACAAAAUGAAUCCAGAAAUGAUCAGCUGAUAAGAUCUCAUAAGAUAAAAUUGUCAGCCGUCAGGUCAGAAGCGUAGUAGCUGUCUAGUCUCGGGAUUCUGUGUUGAGAGAGCACUUGCCGUGUUGGUUGAAGCAGGAGAACGGAAGCCAGAAAAGUAGACAGCUCAGAUAUCCAGACAGAUGAAGGACAAGCUAUAAACAGUUUUAAUAGAAAUAAACAACAUUUAAGAAGCCUAAACCAGUUAUGUACCCAAGAACUGAAAGCAAGGGAAGAGAGACAA